CUGAAACCGUGUACGUACAAGCAGUGGGAGCACAGGUUUACCUGUGUGACUGCGUACCUUUUGUAUAAUGGGUCAGCGACUUAUAUUCUGUAGCAAGGUUAACCGUAUAGGGGAGCCGGAGGGAAACCGAGUCUUAAUUGGGCGUUAAGUUGCAGGGUAUAGACCCGAAACCCGGUGAUCUAGCCAUGGGCAGGUUGAAGGUUGGGUAACACUAACUGGAGGACCGAACCGACUAAUGUUGAAAAAUUAGCGGAUGACCUGUGGCUGGGGGUGAAAGGCCAAUCAAACCGGGAGAUAGCUGGUUCUCCCCGAAAGCUAUUUAGGUAGCGCCUCGUGAAUUCAUCUCCGGGGGUAGAGCACUGUUUCGGCUAGGGGGCCAUCCCGGCUUACCAACCCGAUGCAAACUGCGAAUACCGGAGAAUGUUAUCACGGGAGACACACGGCGGGUGCUAACGUCCGUCGUGAAGAGGGAAACAACCCAGACCGCCAGCUAAGGUCCCAAAGUCAUGGUUAAGUGGGAAACGAUGUGGGAAGGCCCAGACAGCCAGGAUGUUGGCUUAGAAGCAGCCAUCAUUUAAAGAAAGCGUAAUAGCUCACUGGUCGAGUCGGCCUGCGCGGAAGAUGUAACGGGGCUAAACCAU
rnacentral:rRNA from 1 species